rnacentral:rRNA from 1 species
UAAGGGCGCACGGUGGAUGCCUUGGCACUAGAAGCCGAUGAAGGACGUUACUAACGACGAUAUGCUUUGGGGAGCUGUAAGUAAGCUUUGAUCCAGAGAUUUCCGAAUGGGGAAACCCAGCAUGAGUUAUGUCAUGUUAUCGAUAUGUGAAUACAUAGCAUAUCAGAAGGCACACCCGGAGAACUGAAACAUCUUAGUACCCGGAGGAAGAGAAAGAAAAUUCGAUUCCCUUAGUAGCGGCGAGCGAAACGGGAAGAGCCCAAACCAACAAGCUUGCUUGUUGGGGUUGUAGGACACUCUAUACGGAGUUACAAAGGACGACAUUAGACGAAUCAUCUGGAAAGAUGAAUCAAAGAAGGUAAUAAUCCUGUAGUCGAAAAUGUUGUCUCUCUUGAGUGGAUCCUGAGUACGACGGAGCACGUGAAAUUCCGUCGGAAUCUGGGAGGACCAUCUCCUAAGGCUAAAUACUCUCUAGUGACCGAUAGUGAACCAGUACCGUGAGGGAAAGGUGAAAAGCACCCCGGAAGGGGAGUGAAAUAGAACCUGAAACCGUGUGCUUACAAGUAGUCAGAGCCCGUUAAUGGGUGAUGGCGUGCCUUUUGUAGAAUGAACCGGCGAGUUACGAUUUGAUGCAAGGUUAAGCAGUAAAUGUGGAGCCGUAGCGAAAGCGAGUCUGAAUAGGGCGUUUAGUAUUUGGUCGUAGACCCGAAACCAGGUGAUCUACCCUUGGUCAGGUUGAAGUUCAGGUAACACUGAAUGGAGGACCGAACCGACUUACGUUGAAAAGUGAGCGGAUGAACUGAGGGUAGCGGAGAAAUUCCAAUCGAACCUGGAGAUAGCUGGUUCUCUCCGAAAUAGCUUUAGGGCUAGCCUCAAGUGAUGAUUAUUGGAGGUAGAGCACUGUUUGGACGAGGGGCCCCUCUCGGGUUACCGAAUUCAGACAAACUCCGAAUGCCAAUUAAUUUAACUUGGGAGUCAGAACAUGGGUGAUAAGGUCCGUGUUCGAAAGGGAAACAGCCCAGACCACCAGCUAAGGUCCCAAAAUAUAUGUUAAGUGGAAAAGGAUGUGGCGUUGCCCAGACAACUAGGAUGUUGGCUUAGAAGCAGCCAUCAUUUAAAGAGUGCGUAAUAGCUCACUAGUCGAGUGACACUGCGCCGAAAAUGUACCGGGGCUAAACAUAUUACCGAAGCUGUGGAUUGUCCUUUGGACAAUGGUAGGAGAGCGUUCUAAGGGCGUUGAAGCAUGAUCGUAAGGACAUGUGGAGCGCUUAGAAGUGAGAAUGCCGGUGUGAGUAGCGAAAGACGGGUGAGAAUCCCGUCCACCGAUUGACUAAGGUUUCCAGAGGAAGGCUCGUCCGCUCUGGGUUAGUCGGGUCCUAAGCUGAGGCCGACAGGCGUAGGCGAUGGAUAACAGGUUGAUAUUCCUGUACCAC